rnacentral:rRNA from 1 species
AGUGAACGCUGGCGGUAGGCCUAACACAUGCAAGUCGAACGGCAGCACAGGAGAGCUUGCUCUCUGGGUGGCGAGUGGCGGACGGGUGAGGAAUACAUCGGAAUCUACUCUGUCGUGGGGGAUAACGUAGGGAAACUUACGCUAAUACCGCAUACGACCUACGGGUGAAAGCAGGGGACCUUCGGGCCUUGCGCGAUUGAAUGAGCCGAUGUCGGAUUAGCUAGUUGGCGGGGUAAAGGCCCACCAAGGCGACGAUCCGUAGCUGGUCUGGGAGGAUGAUCAGCAACACUGAAACUGAGACACGGUCCAGACUCCUACGGGAGGCAGCAGUGGGGAAUAUUGGACAAUGGGCGCAAGCCUUAUCCAGCCAUACCGCGUGGGUGAAGAAGGCCUUCGGGUUGUAAAGCCCUUUUGUUGGGAAAGAAAUCCAGCUGGCUAAUACCCGGUUGGGAUGACGGUACCCAAAGAAUAAGCACCGGCUAACUUCGUGCCAGCCGCCGCAGUAA